GACACGACUCUCGACAAUGGAUAUCUCGGCUCUCGCAUCGAUGAAGAGCGCAGCGAAAUGCGAUACGUGGUGCGAAUUGCAGAAUCCCGCGAACCAUCGAGUCUUUGAACGCAAGUUGCGCCUGAGGCCAACAGGCCGAGGGCACGUCCGCCUGGGCGUCAAGC
rnacentral:rRNA from 1 species